UGCGUAGGCGGCCGAGUGUGUCGGAUGUGAAAUCUCACCGUUCAACGGUGAAACUGCAUUCGAAACUACUCGGCUAGAGUACAGGAGGGGAGAGCGGAAUUCUCGGUGUAGCGGUGAAAUGCGUGGAUAUCGAGAAGAACGCCGGUGGCGAAGGCGGCUCUCUGGACUGAUACUGACGCUGAGGCACGAAAGCUGGGGGGAGCGAACA
rnacentral:rRNA from 1 species